GUGAUAUUACACAGUAAGAGACUUGAAAUGGAAGAAACAGAGAGUCCAGUCUCAUGCCCCUCCAGCAUUGGGAAGCUCUUUAACAUCGGACAGAGAACAAACUCCAGCAGAAACACAGAAACAUAGUUUCCAUGACUUCAAAAUAUUUAGAUAUCACACGAAGUAUGGAAAACUUUGCAGGAAAUAACCCUUCAAAUUUUGAGGAAGUGGCUCCUUAAACACCAUGGUGAUUCCUUGCCAGUAAAACUAUGACUGACACUUGAAUGCUAAGGAUGCUCAAACAAUGUAAUCAAUGUAAGCUGGUGCACAGAACUUUGCAGCAUCAUCUGCCAUCCAUUUCAUCUCCAGUGCAGUGCAUUUCCUUUGAUCAAAGGGUUUCCAGUGGAAACAUAUUCAGCAAUGUCCAGUAAGAAAGACUUGAGCUGCCAGUGUAGUUCCCAUGGAGAAAGCUUGAGUCUCAAUGCAACAAUACAGACUACCUGGGGGGGAGGGGGGGGAUAAAUUUUCCUAAACUGUUAUUCCUACGCUCUAUCUAGCUGUGUGUAUUUGGCAAGCCGAGAUAUUUUCAGAGCCUUUGUGUCUUUGUCAGGAAGGGGAAAGAUGGGUGGGACUUAGAAUGUAUACCAUAAGAAUGAGAGAACCUGUGCAACUGGAUCAGGACGUAGUUUAUCAAGAGGACGAAUUCCACAGGGAGAGAUCACAGUUAUUAAGGGACACUUGGGUGAAUGGGUUUCCUUCAGUUCAUUUACAACCACUAUCAUUCAGAGAGCUAUUAAAAAGUGAAAUUCUGAGCUAGCUUUUCUAUGGAUCUCUUCAAUACUCAGCCCCAAAUUGGCUCUCUUUUUUUUUAAACAACCUCCCCUGCAAUGUAAUUUAGUAAUAACAAUUGUUUUAAUGCAGAAAGUUUCAAGAUUAUUUCUGCUAAGAAUUCUACAAAGCAAUGCUUUGAUAAUCAUGUAUGUAGAGGGUAACAAAUAAGCUACAUUCUUAUUCUUUCCAUUGAGGGCAUAAAUAAUUGUGAAGUUUGGGCUUGACAUGCUCCAUUCAUUAAUCAGUAUUGAUGUCAUGUUUCAUGCUGGGAACACAAAGCCAGCCUGGGCUUAGUUGCUGCUCACAGUCUAACAGGGAAGCCAGGUAAAUCAUAAGACUGACAAAGAGAUGUAUGGGCCUAGGAAAGGCGAGUGCAGAGUGCUAGAGGACCAUGGGAAGAUGCAUUGGCUAUGUAUGACCUACAGAGCUGGGAAAGGCAACAGUCACAGACCUGAGUGGCAAACUGCAGGAAAACAACACAAAAGAAGGUUUUGGACAAAGAGAGCACAUGGUCCAGGCUUCAAGGCAAGAAAACAUAGUUAAUUCCACAAAGGCAAAAACUUUCGGUAUGGUUAGAACAUGAGCUUUCCAUUAUCCUUAACCCUGUGAUGCUUCCUUAGUCAAGGAUUUGCUUCAGUUAGGGUUAACUACUGCAAGUACCACCUAAGACACUGUCAUCUUACAAACCCCUAAGGAUUUGUAGCAUCCCAACUUAACUAAUAAAGGGUUAGACAAAUCUGGAGCUAAAUUACCAAAACUUAUUUUUGAGAUGCAAUCCACUUCUACAAAGGGAAAAGCAAUUGGAGCCAUGGAACAUGUGAAUGACCAUGCUAGCCAGCAGAGUGACUCAGGACAGACACUUCCUAAACCACAGCCACUAGUCAUUUCAGAGCUGGACUUUGUAAACUACCUGGAAACACUGAUCUAAUUGCCCUAUUUAAAAUAUAGAUGUAUGGGUACUCCAUACUUAUAUAUUUAUAACUCUUUCUACUUUAUUUGGUGAUUAUGGGCCAGACAGAAAAGGCACUUGCUUAAAUUUGUACUUAACCUUUAUAAUCGCCGUGGAUAGGAAUUUGCAUUAUAUAAAAUUCUGCUUCCAUUUUCUACAAAAGAAAAGAAAAAAGGUUCUUGACCUCCAAUACAUUUUGACAUUUUGAUUUCAAUGAAGUUUAAGUUUUAUUUUCUGUAAAACUUUUUAUGUCCCAGUCUGACAAGAUACAUGAAAAUUAUCUAAAGUUCUUUCCAAAUGUAUUUGGCCAUUAAUCCUCUUUUUGUUGUGUUCAGACAAAACUCUCAUUCAAACAUUGUCUAAUAAUAAAGGAAAAACUAUUAAUUUCAUUUUAUAGCCA
rnacentral:lncRNA from 1 species